GUGCUUAAUUCAGCAGUUCAUUUACUAAAACUGCAACAAUGUAUAGAAUAUUAAUGUGGCCCCUGCACAAGGAUGACAUGCAAAUUUGUGAAGCAUUCCAUUCGAAA